rnacentral:rRNA from 1 species
AAAGCCUGCGAUCUGUAGCUGGUCUGAGAGGACGACCAGCCACACUGGGACUGAGACACGGCCCAGACUCCUACGGGAGGCAGCAGUGGGGAAUUUUGGACAAUGGGCGCAAGCCUGAUCCAGCAAUGCCGCGUGCAGGAUGAAGGCCUUCGGGUUGUAAACUGCUUUUGUACGGAACGAAAAGGCUCUGGUUAAUACCUGGGGUCCAUGACGGUACCGUAAGAAUAAGCACCGGCUAACUACGUGCCAGCAGCCGCGGUAAUACGUAGGGUGCAAGCGUUAAUCGGAAUUACUGGGCGUAAAGCGUGCGCAGGCGGUUUUGUAAGACAGAGGUGAAAUCCCCGGGCUCAACCUGGGAACUGCCUUUGUGACUGCAAGGCUGGAGUACGGCAGAGGGGGAUGGAAUUCCGCGUGUAGCAGUGAAAUGCGUAGAUAUGCGGAGGAACACCGAUGGCGAAGGCAAUCCCCCUGGGCCUGUACUGACGCUCAUGCACGAAAGCGUGGGGAGCAAACAGGAC